rnacentral:rRNA from 1 species
UCUUUUCCUUGUGUGCCAGCCGCCGCGGUAAUACGUAGGGGGCAAGCGUUAUCCGGAUUUACUGGGUGUAAAGGGAGCGUAGACGGUGUGGCAAGUCUGAUGUGAAAGGCAUGGGCUCAACCUGUGGACUGCAUUGGAAACUGUCAUACUUGAGUGCCGGAGGGGUAAGCGGAAUUCCUAGUGUAGCGGUGAAAUGCGUAGAUAUUAGGAGGAACACCAGUGGCGAAGGCGGCUUACUGGACGGUAACUGACGUUGAGGCUCGAAAGCGUGGGGAGCAAACAGG